rnacentral:rRNA from 1 species
GUGGGGAAUAUUGGACAAUGGGCGAAAGCCUGAUCCAGCAAUGCCGCGUGAGUGAUGAAGGCCCUAGGGUUGUAAGCUCUUUUACCCGGGAUGAUAAUGACAGUACCGGGAGAAUAAGCUCCGGCUAACUUCGUGCCAGCAGCCGCGGUAAUACGAGGGGAGCUAGCGUUGUUCGGAAUUACUGGGCGUAAAGCGCGCGUAGGCGGUUUUUUAAGUCAGAGGUGAAAGCCCGGGGCUCAACCCCGGAAUUGCCUUUGAAACUGGAAAACUAGAAUCUUGGAGAGGUCAGUAGAAUUCCGAGUGUAGAGGUGAAAUUCGUAGAUAUUCGGAAGAACACCAGUGGCGAAGGCGACUGACUGGACAAGUAUUGACGCUGAGGUGCGAAAGCGUGGGGAGCAAACAGGAUUAGAAACCCUGGUAGUCC